GACGAACGCUGGCGGCGCGCCUAACACAUGCAAGUCGAACGAGCGCGCGAGAGCUUGCUUUCUCGAGCGAGUGGCGAACGGGUGAGUAACGCGUGAGGAACCUGCCCCACAGAGGGGGACAACAGUUGGAAACGACUGCUAAUACCGCAUAAGCCCACGGCUCGGCAUCGAGCCGGGGGAAAAGGAGCCAUCCGCUUUGAGAUGGCCGCGCGUCCGAUUAGCCAGUUGGUGGGGUAACGGCCCACCCAGGCGACGAUCGGUAGCCGGACUGAGAGGUUGAACGGCCACAUUGGGAGUAGGACACGGCCCAGACUCCUACGGGAGGCAGGAGUGGGUAAUAUUGCACAAUGGGGUGAGCCCAGAUGCAGCGACGCUGCGUAGAGGAAGAAGGUCGUCGGAUUGUAAACUCCUGUUGUUGGGGAAGAUAAUGACGGUACCCAACGAGGAAGUGACGGCUAACUACGUG
rnacentral:rRNA from 1 species